rnacentral:rRNA from 1 species
CCUACGGGAGGCUGCAGUGGGGAAUAUUGGGCAAUGGGCGUAAGCCUGACCCAGCAACGCCGCGUGAGGGAUGAAGGCUCUCUGGUUGUAAACUCCUUUUUAGAGGGAAGAGCAGAAGACGGUACCUCUUGAAUAAGCCAUGGCUAACUACGUGCCAGCAGCCGCGGUCAUACGUAGGUGGCAAGCGUUGUCCGGAUUUACUGGGUGUAAAGGGCGUGUAGCCGGGCUGACAAGUGAGAUGUGAAAUCCCGUGGCUCAACCACGGAACUGCAUUUGAAACUGGCGGUCUUGAGUAUCGGUGAGGCAGGCGGAAUUCGUAGUGUAGCGGUGAAAUGCGUAGAUAUUAGGAGGAACACCAGUGGCGAAGGCAGCCUGC